rnacentral:rRNA from 1 species
UGGGGAAUCUUGGACAAUGGGCGCAAGCCUGAUCCAGCCAUGCCGCGUGAGUGACGAAGGUCUUCGGAUUGUAAAGCUCUUUUGGCGGGGACGAUAAUGACGGUACCCGCAGAAUAAGCCCCGGCUAACUUCGUGCCAGCAGCCGCGGUAAUACGAAGGGGGCUAGCGUUGUUCGGAAUUACUGGGCGUAAAGCGCACGUAGGCGGAUUGUUAAGUCAGAGGUGAAAUCCCGGAGCUCAACUUCGGAACUGCCUUUGAUACUGGCAAUCUAGAGUCCGGAAGAGGUUAGUGGAAUUCCCAGUGUAGAGGUGAAAUUCGUAGAUAUUGGGAAGAACACCAGUGGCGAAGGCGGCUAACUGGUCCGGUACUGACGCUGAGGUGCGAAAGCGUGGGGAGCAAACAGGAUUAGAUACCCCCGUAGUCCCUGAGCGGGCUGGCAAGGCGCAU